UAUGUGGAAUGGGUGACCAGGACCUCGGGCU
rnacentral:piRNA from 1 species